rnacentral:rRNA from 1 species
GAUCCUGGCUCAGGACGAACGCUGGCGGCGUGCUUAACACAUGCAAGUCGAACGGAGUGUAGCAAUACACUUAGUGGCGGACGGGUGAGUAACACGUGAGCAACCUGCCCUGUACAACGGGAUAACACAGAGAAAUUUGUGCUAAUACGGUAUAAGACCACACUGCGGCAUCGCAGAGGGGUAAAAGCUGAGGCGGUACAGGAGGGGCUCGCGGCCCAUUAGAUAGUUGGUGAGGUAACGG